GUGAGAAUGCGCAUAAAAAAACCUGGUGCAACGCCUAGUCUAAAUAUACCUACUCGUGCUCCGUUGAAUGUAUUGGACGGCUCACCCCAAUUGCUGAAUUUCUCGUAAAA
rnacentral:sRNA from 1 species